GCUUUCACUCGGAAAUUCCCAUUUCAAACUCUAAUUUCGACUAAGGAAAUAAGGAUCUCGUGGAUGAAUCUAGGUUCGAAUGUACGGAAGAAGACCACUGAUGGUAAGGCUGUGAUGCAAGUGGUUUGGUGUCCUGGGAUUCCAGAGUCUUCACCCGUCUGGGCAGUUUGGACUAAUUUCGGGAUUGGGCCUACUAGGGUGUUAAUUUAUUUGGGCUAGAAUUUAGAUUUAAUAUUUGGGUCGGAUAUUAUUUAGGUUAAUUGGGUCCUAAGCUAAUGGACUUUUAUUAUAUUGA